rnacentral:rRNA from 1 species
AUGGAAUCUCUACAAUUGCAUUGGUGCAUGACGCUGGAAUGUUUGGAAAUUCAUUACUGCAGUGCGCUCAUCUCACUAGAGGGCUUGCGGUCCCUCCUGAACCUUAUGCAUUUGGAAAUACUCGGUUCCCCUGCCUUGGGUUCCCUUACCUCAUCAGAGAGUUAUGGGCCAAUUGAGGGAAUUUCAAGCCACAACUAUGAGUUAUUCCACGCACUGGAAAGUCUCGAGGUCCAUGACCUGUCUCCCCAUAACACAUCAUCUGCAACGGCCUCACAUGCCUCUGAAGCCUAA